rnacentral:pre_miRNA from 1 species
UAACUACUUCCUUCGUCCGAAAAUACUUGUCAUUAAAAUAGAUAAAAAAAGAUGUAUCUAGAACUAAUAUACGUCUAGAUACAUCCCCUUUUAUUCAUUUUGAUGACAAGUAUUUUCGGAUGGAGGGAGUACUAG